CGGACCGCGGGGACAGCCCGGACCGCCGCGGGGCGCCCAGCUUGAGACGGCGCCCGCGCCUGCUUUAGAUUUGCCGCGGCUCGGCCGCGCGUAUAUUUCCCUUCCUUCAUGAUCUCCAACAGUGUUAAAGCAGAAGAAACUGAGGUAUCCAGAAAGAGAAAAGUAACUGGGAUUGAGAAAAAGAAAGAGGUAUUUAUUACACUGAGGCAUUUUCAUCUAACUUGCUGACCAUGAUUUCCAACUGUACCUCAGCAUUUAUCUUAAAGUGGUACCAGGAAUCAGCUGGCAGUUGAAAAUGAGUCUAAAAGCAGCUUUUUCACACAGAGAUUUGAUCAGAGAGGUCUAGACAUAAAACUUGCCAGUGGAGCAAAGGAAAGAAGGCACAUAGCUCACUUCUACCUUUUUUGUUCCUCACCCUUUUCUUAACAUUAGUUUCCUCCCAUUCCAUUGACCUCUUUUGGCCCC
rnacentral:lncRNA from 1 species